AUUGAACGCUGGCGGCAUGCUUUACACAUGCAAGUCGAACGGCAGCGGGGGCUUCGGCCUGCCGGCGAGUGGCGAACGGGUGAGUAAUGCAUCGGAACGUGCCCAUGUCGUGGGGGAUAACGUAUCGAAAGGUACGCUAAUACCGCAUACGUCCUGAGGGAGAAAGCGGGGGAUUCUUCGGAACCUCGCGCGAUUGGAGCGGCCGAUGUCGGAUUAGCGAGUUGGUGGGGUAAAGGCUCACCAAGGCGACGAUCCGUAGCGGGUCUGAGAGGUUGAUCCGCCAAACUGGGACUGAGACACGGCCCAGACUCCUACGGGAGUCAGCAGUGGGGAAUUUUGAACAAUGGGCGCAAGCCUGAUCCAGCCAUGCCGCGUGAGUGAAGAAGGCCUUCGGGUUGUAAAGCUCUUUCGGCCGGGAAGAAAUCGCACUCUCUAACAUAGGGUGUGGAUGACGGUACCGGACUAAGAAGCACCGGCUAACUACGUGCCAGCCGCCGCGGUAAUAC
rnacentral:rRNA from 1 species